AUGAUUCAUAUAACAAUGAUUACAAAAUUAUGAAACACAAUUCACUUACUUUUUUUGUGUACUUAUUUUCAAGUCUAUUUGUAACGCCAAUUUUUUCUUCAAAAAGUUGCUAUUUUUGUAUGGAUUAUAGCUCAAAAUGUGAAGAAAAUGAUCGCUCUGUUGAGCCAAUCAAGAUGAAAUGUGUUGAUUUUGUGGUUGGCAAAAAAGGCACACCUCGGCAGUACUAUCGGAAUCCAAAACUACUUAAUUUAACGUUUAACAGAUUUUACAUAGUUAGUUUACCAAAGAAACCAGCAAGAACAGUUUGCGUAACUGUAAAAUAUAAGCUAAAUCCUUAUUUUUUUGAACUCCCAGGUAGUAAGUUGGAGCAAAUCCAGAAAUAUGAAAACACUUCUUUUACCUUUCAAUCCUGCUUGUUUCGAGAUUACGUGGAAUUUGGUAACGCCUGUCACUAUGCGACUACCCAAAUAAUUGAUCCAGUGUUUUACCUGGACCGAAAUUGUACCGAAUGCACCACACAAGAUUGUAACGGCGGAGAUGUGAUAAGUCUUAAAAGAUUACCAUUAUUUAUGACUUUUCUACUAGUUGGAAAAAUUAUGAUACGAACAUUAAAUUUAUAUUCAAUAUAAGUAACUCAGAAAGAUUCGCUAUAAACACUUUUAAAAAUAAAUUUAAAGAAUAUCAAAUUUUUCACAGAUAUCAC